AGCGAACGCUGGCGGCAGGCUUAACACAUGCAAGUCGAGCGGGCCCUUCGGGGUCAGCGGCAGACGGGUGAGUAACACGUGGGAACGUACCCUUUGGUUCGGAAUAACGCUGGGAAACUAGCGCUAAUACCGGAUACGCUCUUUUGGGGAAAGGCUUGCUGCCGAAGGAUCGGCCCGCGUCUGAUUAGCCAGUUGGUGGGGUAAUGGCCUAUCAAGGCGACGAUCAGUAGCUGGUCUGAGAGGAUGAUCAGCCACACUGGAACUGAGACACGGCCCAGACUCCUACGGGAGGCAGCAGUGGGGAAUAUUGGACAAUGGGCGCAAGCCUGAUCCAGCCAUGCCGCGUGAGUGAUGAAGGCCUUAGGGUUGUAAAGCUCUUUUGUCCGGGACGAUAAUGACGGUACCGGAAGAAUAAGCCCCGGCUAACUUCGUG
rnacentral:rRNA from 1 species